rnacentral:rRNA from 1 species
UUGAACGCUGGCGGCAGGCCUAACCCAUGCACGUCGAGCGGAUGAAGGGAGCUUGCUCCUGGAUUCAGCGGCGGACGGGUGAGUAAUGCCUAGGAAUCUGCCUGGUAGUGGGGGAUAACGUCCGGAAACGGGCGCUAAUACCGCAUACGUCCUGAGGGAGAAAGUGGGGGAUCUUCGGACCUCACGCUAUCAGAUGAGCCUAGGUCGGAUUAGCUAGUUGGUGGGGUAAAGGCCUACCAAGGCGACGAUCCGUAACUGGUCUGAGAGGAUGAUCAGUCACACUGGAACUGAGACACGGUCCAGACUCCUACGGGAGGCAGCAGUGGGGAAUAUUGGACAAUGGGCGAAAGCCUGAUCCAGCCAUGCCGCGUGUGUGAAGAAGGUCUUCGGAUUGUAAAGCACUUUAAGUUGGGAGGAAGGGCAGUAAGUUAAUACCUUGCUGUUUUGACGUUACCAACAGAAUAAGCACCGGCUAACUUCGUG